rnacentral:rRNA from 1 species
UACGAAGGGUGCAAGCGUUAAUCGGAAUUACUGGGCGUAAAGGGUGCGUAGGCGGUUGUUUAAGUCUGUCGUGAAAUCCCCGGGCUCAACCUGGGAAUGGCGAUGGAAACUGGGCAGCUAGAGUGUGUCAGAGGAUGGUGGAAUUCCCGGUGUAGCGGUGAAAUGCGCAGAUAUCGGGAAGAACACCCGUGGCGAAGGCGGCACUCUGGGACGGUACUGACGCUGAGACGCGAAAGCGUGGGGAGCGAACAGG